rnacentral:rRNA from 1 species
AUUGAACGCUGGCGGCAGGCUUAACACAUGCAAGUCGAGCGGGGUGAUGGUGCUUGCACUAUCACUUAGCGGCGGACGGGUGAGUAAUGCUUAGGAAUCUGCCUAUUAGUGGGGGACAACAUCUCGAAAGGGAUGCUAAUACCGCAUACGUCCUACGGGGGAAAGCAGGGGAUCACUUGUGACCUUGCGCUAAUAGAUGAGCCUAAGUCGGAUUAGCUAGUUGGUGGGGUAAAGGCCUACCAAGGCGACGAUCUGUAGCGGGUCUGAGAGGAUGAUCGGCCACACUGGGACUGAGACACGGCGCAGACUCCUACGGGAGGCAGCAGUGGGGAAUAUUGGACAAUGGGGGGAACCCUGAUCCAGCCAUGCCGCGUGUGUGAAGAAGGCCUUAUGGUUGUAAAGCACUUUAAGCGAGGAGGAGGCUCUUUUGGUUAAUACCCAAGAUGAGUGGACGUUACUCGCAGAAUAAGCACCGGCUAACUCUGUGCCAGCCGCCGCAGUAA